ACCUGACUGCUAUCGGAUUGAUACUAAGCCAUGUGAGUCAUUGCAGCAAUGCAAGGCAGACGGCUCAGUAACACGUAGUCAACCUACCCUAUAGACGGGGAUGACCUCGGGAAACUGAGGAUAAACCCCGAUAGAUCAUUAUGCCUGGAACGGUUUAUGGUCCAAAUGAUUCGUCGCUAUAGGAUGGGACUGCGGCCUAUCAGCUUGUUGGUGAGGUAAUGGCCCACCAAGGCUAUUACAGGUACGGGCUCUGAGAGGAGAGGCCCGGAGAUGGGUACUGAGACACGGACCCAGGUCCUAUGGGGCGCAGCAGGCGAGAAAACUUUGCAAUGUGCGCAAGCACGACAAGGUUAAUCCGAGUGAUUCCUGCUAAAGGAAUCUUUUGUUAGUUGUAAAACCACUGAUGAAUAAGGGGUGGGCAAGUUCUGGUGUCAGCCGCCGCGGUAAAACCAGCACCUCAAGUGGUCAGGAGGAUUAUUGGGCCUAAAGCAUCCGUAGCCUGCUUUGUAAGUUUUCGGUUAAAUCCAUCAGCUCAGCUGAUGGGCCGCCGAAAAAACUGCAAAGCUAGGGAGUGGGAGAGGUAGACGGUACUCGAUAGGAAGGGGUAAAAUCCUUUGAUCUAUUGAUGACCCCCUGUGGCGAAGGCGGUCUACCAGAACACGUUCGACGGUGAGGGAUGAAAGCUGGGGGAGCAAACCGGAUUAGAUACCCGGGUAGUCCCAGCUGUAAACGAUGCAGACUCGGUGAUGCCCUGGCUUGUGGCCAGUGCAGUGCCGCAGGGAAGCCGUUAAGUUUGCCGCCUGGGAAGUACGUACGCAAGUAUGAAACUUAAAGGAA
rnacentral:rRNA from 1 species